rnacentral:lncRNA from 1 species
CGUGUUCGUUAUCUUUACCAGUAGGUGGAGCUGCCACGUUAGGUGCCGCUUUUUUUCAUUUCUUCUCCCCCUUCGCUCCCCCACCCUUCGCCCUCCCUCUUCCUAAUAAGCUGUUUUCUGAUACAUGUUGGGUACCAUAGAGUGAGAGGGAACAGGAAGCGGAGGCAGAAUCGGGGAGGAUUCUGGAAAGGUCUCUGUGUUUUCUUUUCCACUGAGAAUACAGAAAUUACGAUUAAUUAGUAAAGCUUCGUGGAUGGAAAUCUGUACAAUUUCAGCAGGGGAUACAUAUUGUCACGUUAUUUUUGGAUGCUGGGCUUUGCAGUGAUUUUUCAUUCUCCUUUAAUCAGAGGCAUGGACACAUUCUUCCACAGAACAAUGUAACGACAACAGGUAACUAUCUUUCCCAGCUCACCCUUACAUUAAAAGGGAGCUCAAGUGCACAAAGAAACAAUUUGAAGCAUGUAAAAAAUAUAUAAA